UUGGCUUUCAAAUGGUUGACAGUUUGCUUCCUCCGAGUCGAUGGGGGACAGCUCACUCAUUGUGCAUAGUGCCCUUGCACAAGACGUGCGGUUCCGACAAGGUGUGGUUCAAGUCGCAGCUUGGCCCGUACAACCAUUCCGCUUCGCACAAGUUUUGUAAUGGUCAGCUUCCAGCCUUAUCACGAGUUCAAAUUCCCUGCUUCAAGGACCUGAUCCAAAGCGCUCUUUGGUUGUGGCGUAGACCAGUGGUUAUCUUCUGGACCCAAAAUGGUGAAUUGCUACAGUUCGACGGGGAAAGCUUCGGAAUCAUUACUCCGCCACCAGCUGCUAGACUUACCAAUGUUCUUCGUAUCUGCUUUGAAGAUGCACUGGCGAUAACGACUCAGCCAACAAGCCCACCUGCAGCGCAACCCACAACGCAACGCACAACUCAGCCUACAAGAUCACCAACAUCCACAUCCCUUCCCACAACCCAAUCAACAACCGCAUCCGCAUCCCUGCCCGGUGGCACUCAAUCAACCGUAGCCCAACCAGCAACCAAACCCAAAACCCAGACCACAACCAGACACACAGCCCACCCCGCAACCAAACACGCAGCCCAACCCGCAGCAACCCCUCGAACAAAGCGGACCACAUCUCGACCUUUGACAGGUACAAUGAAAGCAAUGGCAGGCACUUCGCAGACACAACAACCAAAAGCGGGCACACCUGGUGCCAUUA